AGUCUGCCUUCUGAUGGCUUGGCUUGAUGUUACUGUGAUUUUAUCAGCUUGUAGUCAUUGUAGGUUCUUCUUCAGAUUGCUAACAUCUUUCUUCACCUUAUUCCCAGAUCAGUUUUUUGUUGUAUUUUUAAAAUGAGAGGUUCAGGGGAGCUAAGCGGUAUGUCAAUUGAAGCUGAUGGGAAUGCUGCAGGUCGGAAGGAGUAAAUGGUAGUCCUACCUCAGUACCUUCUUUACAACAGCCUCCAAUGGAAGUCCAACAGGGACUGUGUUUGCUGAUGCCACUGUUUGCAGAUGAUGGCUGGGUGCUCUCCCCCCCUCCCAGGGACCCUUCCAAAUGAGAACCGAGUACUGCAGCACAAGAAGCUACCACCAACUGUGCUGUUCCUGUCUUGUAUGUUAACCAAGAGCUGAGACUGAGCACUGAAUUCACACAAGAUAACAGAAAACCAAGCCCAUACAUUGUCAACCAGUCACACUCUCGCAGUGUGGUGACUCUCUGUCACUUACCACACUUCUCAUGCUCAGCCUACAGCUGUGAAACUGCUUAUUUCACUCUCUUCCAAGAACGGAAUCCAGAGAGCAUUUCUCAGUUUGAUGCCUGUGUCAAUUUGGAGAACAUCCUUGGACAGAAAUGACAUUGAUAACAGUGAGAGAAGAGUCCUCAGGAAAGCAGCAGCAGCCUUUCAUUGCCAGCUCUUCCACUGGGUCUGAGCUAGUAACUGCCAUGCUGCAAACAUUAUUUAAUUUAUAUGUGCCUGUUCCACAGUCUUCCUAUUGACUUCAGGGGUACUGGAUCAGACUGUAUGGUAGCUACAGCUCUGUAUUAUGACUCAGUAUCACUGCCUUGGAACGCUCUCUAAUAGAUCAGUCAGAUUUUCCAUUAGAACAUGCUCUGAGGAGAGAAAUGAGUGCUCAGCUAGCUGCCUGCUGAUAAAAUGUCUCAUUUCUCACUUGUGUAUUUUUCCCAAAUAACUUUCCUCUCUGCCAUUAGAAAAUUCUGGGUUUCAGGUGGGACACUUUGAGGGUGUCUUACAAAGAGAGGAGAAUACCUGCUUGAAUCUUUGCCAGCCAGCCUUGCUUAUUGUGUCUAAAUGUCCCUUAUAUCCUUUGAAUCUGUUUCAGUGUUGUUACCUGAAAUGAGAAGAAACUGAUUUUUUAAAGUAAAAUGUGCAGGCUGUAUUUCCAGUUAAUACGUGAUAGCAGUUGCUAUUGUAUGCCAGACUGACCUGUGACUAAAUAACUAUAGUAGUAAAAUCAUUUUAGCCUAGCAUGAUAAAAAUCAAAACUAAAACUAUGAUUCUGUAAGCAGUAUUUGUUACGUGCUGAGAAUGUACUCAUCACAGAAAAGGAGACUUAUUUGCAUUGCCAACCUAGGAUUUAUACUUGCCUCUUACCAUAUAAACUUGUCC
rnacentral:lncRNA from 7 species